UAAGUCUGUUGUUUAAAUCGUGGAGCUCAACUCCAUCACGGCAAUGGAAACUGUUCGGCUUGAGUAUGGUAGGGGCAGAGGGAAUUUCCGGUGUAGCGGUGAAAUGCGUAGAUAUCGGGAAGAACACCAGUGGCAAAAGCGCUCUGCUGGGCCAUUACUGACGCUCAUGGACGAAAGCCAGGGGAGCGAAAGGGAUUAGAUACCCCUGUAGUCCUGGCCGUAAACGAUGAACACUAGAUGUUGGGGGAAUCGACCCCUCCGGUGUCGUAGCUAACGCGUUAAGUGUUCCGCCUGGGGAGUACGCACGCAAGUGUGAAACUCAAAGGAAUUGACGGGGGCCCGCACAAGCGGUGGAGUAUGUGGUUUAAUUCGAUGCAACGCGAAGAAUCUUACCAAGGCUUGACAUCCUGCAAAUCUCCAAGAAAUUGGAGAGUGCCUYCGGGAACGCAGUGACAGGUGGUGCAUGGCUGUCGUCAGCUCGUGUCGUGAGAUGUUGGGUUAAGUCCCGCAACGAGCGCAACCCACGUUUUUAGUUGCCAGCAUUCAGUUGGGCACUCUAGAAAGACUGCCGGUGACAAACCGGAGGAAGGUGUGGACGACGUCAAGUCAUCAUGCCCCUUACGCCUUGGGCUACACACGUACUACAAUGCUGCGGACAAAGAGUAGCGAUCUUGCAAAAGUUAGCUAAUCUCGUAAACCGUGGCUCAGUUCAGAUCGUAGGCUGCAACUCGCCUACGUGAAGGAGGAAUCGCUAGUAAUCGCAGGUCAGCAUACUGCGGUGAAUACGUUCCCGGGCCUUGUACACACCGCCCGUA
rnacentral:rRNA from 1 species